CACGUCGGCUCCCCUCCCCCAACACCGUUCGGAAUCCUUGGGUCAACCGCCUCCGUCUCCACAGCAACGGAGUUUCAGAGCGCGCGGCAGCUUGGGGGCGGGGUUCCCAGUCCCCCGGUCAAAUUUUAGGACUUUUCAGCAGGAAAGCUGCACAACUGGAGGAGGGCAGGACGAGGCUGGCCUCGCAGGUCGGGCUACGUUCUUCUACGGUCUGAGGCGUUGUCUAGAAACUCAAAAUCUCUGGAAUCCCAUCCAGGACUCCUCCAUCAAGAUUUCUUCCGAUCCUGAGUAACCAAGAUUGGAAUACUGACCCCUUCAGGAGGCAGCCCAUGCCGUUUUUUCCCAACCGCUCUAAUCUGCCCCAAAUGCUUCCUUAUAUGAAUCCAAAUUUGUCUCUCCUUGACCUCUACCCUCUGCACUGUUUCAGCCUCCGCCUCUGGGGCCUUACUAAACAAGUCCAAUCACCCUUCCACGUGACCCCUUAUCUAACUGUAGGUGGGAUUAAUGUACUUAUCUGCCCAAACAGCUCCAGUCCUUUAAACUGCCUUUUAUUGAUUGUGAGACAAAUUUGAGGACACCCUGGGGCAGAGCGCAACCAAAGGUGCCUUGCGGUCUCAUUAGUCAUAUGGAAUUCAGCACUGACCAGGGCUUAACUAGCCAUUAAGGCCCUGCACUUUGCCUAGAGGAGCCCACCCAGGAUACUACAUUACAUUCAGAUGUCAUGUCUCCUUAGGCUCCUGCAGACUGACAAUUUCUCAAACUUUGUUUUUGAUGACUUUGACAAUUUUGAGGUGGUAUGAUAAUUUGUGAAGUGUUUCUCAUGCUUAGCCUGGAGUUACAAGGUUGGAGAAAAAGACCAAAGAUGUGAAGUGCCAUUCUCAUCACAUCAUGUCAAGGGUACAUGCUGUUAACAUGAAUUAACAUCGAUGAUGUUAACCUUGAUGUCCUGGCUGAGAUGAACUCUCUUGGAUAGAAGGAUUCAAACAGAAAAAUGCAAAAAGAAGUCAGAUGGAAAACUCUGGAAAAUCCAAGAAGGGAGCUAGUUGAUGAUGAGCAAAGCCACAUGUGCUGUCUUGACAGCCAUAGAGAAGAAUGGAGGCCUCCAUACCUGAGUGGAAAGAGAAGAACAUGGGCAAUGAUUUUGUCUCUACAAAACAACAACAACAACAGACAAACAAAAUUAGCUGAGUGUGGUG
rnacentral:lncRNA from 1 species